rnacentral:lncRNA from 1 species
CCUGGCCUGGACGGGACGCUCCUGCCGCCCUCCUGCAGCGCGGACCUCAGGUCUGCUGAGCACCACCUGAGGACGGGCACUGGCGCAUGCGCCCCAUAGAAGUGAUGGAGACACAGAGGACCUGCUCCAGGCGGGGCUUCAGCGUGUGGGUUCGCGGGUCCUGGGAGCCGAGAGAAGGCGCCUGUUUCUUCGGGUCUGACGGGCACAAGCCGAAUCUCCCCACGAGGUGCUCGUGUGCCCAGGUGCCGGCGUACAGGGCCCGAUGCCAGACGUUUCUGCAUCUCCUACCUCCUCCCCCUAGCUUCUCCCCUUUCGCGGGUGGCCCAGGUGCGUGGGGGCAUCGGCAGGGGAGGGGCCAGGGCCUAAGAAGUCUGCAGGGGUCGGCGGUGAAGGGCAGGGAGCCGCAGCCCCGAGCCCCCGCGCAAGGGUAGAGAUCUGAAGUCUAAGGCGGUCUCUGCGUGACCUUGGGCGAGUCAUUCCCCUCGGGAGCCUCAGCUGGCUCGCCCGUCAAGUGGGAACGCAGCGGCCGCACUUGGCGGGUUGCCCGCGGUGGAGCGCGGAGCUCGGCGGGGCGCCGGGACGAGGUGAGGAGGGGUCCAGCCGCCCAGGGGGAGUCGGGGGGCCGCGGGCGUCCCCGGGCGGGCGCUGGGGGGCGCUGCGCGCCGGGCGGCUCGCCCCGCGGCAAGUUUGCCUCCAGCUGUUGAAUGCGCCCGCGACGGCGACGGCGACGGCGACGGCGGCGGCGGGACCCGGAGCCCGCGGGGUGAGCGGGGCGGGGGGCCGGGCGGGGCCGGGGCUCGGCGCUCCCCGCGGCCGCCGCCGCCGCCUCCCCGGGCGCUGCAGCUGCGGCGUUGGAGCCGGGCGGGCCCCCGCCCCGCGGCCGCGUGUCUGCGUGCGCGCGUGUCUGUGGAAGGAUCGGGCCGGGGGAGGGGGGCGGGCGGGGUCUCGCUGCGGACGCGCCUGCGGACGGACGGACGGACAGACCGCGGGCCGCGGCCCCUGACGCACGCUGCGCUCCCACCCCGGCGGCGGCGGCGGCCCGGGCCGGGCGGGGGCGGGUCGGGGGCGGGGGCGGGGGCGGCGGCGUCUGCGCGCACACGCGGGCUCGCAGACACACACACACGCACACGCGGGCCACGCCGCGCACACCCGCACCCGCGCCCGCGCUCACACUCACUCACACUCACACUCGCGCGCAGGCCCCGCAGCCGCCGCCGCCUCCGGAAGCGGCGCUCGGCCCGGAUCCCGGCCGGCCUGGAGAAGGAGAAGACCUGGGUGAGAAGCUGCUGCCGCCUGAGCCAGACUGGGACCGAGACCCCGUUGCUCCUGCUGCCGCUGCCAGCGCAGGGCCUCCCUGAGACCAGGCCAGGGAUAGACCUCGUGGGCCGGAGGGGCCCCCUUAGCCUGCAGACAUCGAGCAGAGACGACUGGCCGCCCUGA